rnacentral:rRNA from 1 species
GUGUCUUCGGACGCCGGCAUACGGCUCAGUAACACGUAGAUAACCUACCCUCAGGACUGAGAUAACCCCGGGAAACUGGGGCUAAUAUUAGAUAGAUAAAAGAUACUGGAAUGUUCUUUUACUCAAAGCUUUUGCGCCUGAGGAUGGGCCUGCGUCCGAUUAGGUUGUUGGUGGGGUAAUGGCCCACCAAGCCUAUGAUCGGUACGGGCAGUGGGAGCUGAAGCCCGGAAUUGGGGACUGAGACAAGGCCCCAGGCCCUACGGGACGCAGCAGGCGCGAAACCUCUGCAAUGCGGGAAACCGUGACAGGGGAAUUCCAAGUGCUCAUGCAUUGCAUGGGCUGUUCUUUGGUCUAAGUAACCAGAGGAGUAAGGGCUGGGCAAGACCGGUGCCAGCCGCCGCGGUAAUACCGGCAGCUCAAGUGGUAGCCGCGAUUAUUGGGCCUAAAGCGUUCGUAGCCGGAUAAGUAAGUCUUUGGUUAAAUCCUGCGACUUAACCGUGGGAAAUCUAGAGAUACUGCUUGUCUUGAGACCGGGAGAGGUUGGAGGUACUUUUAGGGUAGGGGUGAAAUCCUGUAAUCCUAAGGGGACCACCUGUGGCGAAGGCGUCCAACUGGAACGGGUCUGACGGUGAGGGACGAAACCUAGGGGAGCGAGCCGGAUUAGAUACCCGGGUAGUCCUAGGCGUAAAUGAUGCGAGUUAAGUGUGGGGGCAUCUACGAGAUGGCCCUGUGCUGUAGGGUAGCCGUUAAACUCGCCGCCUGGGGAGUACGGUCGCAAGGCUGAAACUUAAA